rnacentral:rRNA from 1 species
UCCCAGCCCUAAACGAUGGAUACUAAGUAGGGGUCCCACCUGGGGUCUCUGCCGUAGCUAACGCAUUAAGUAUCCCGCCUGGGGAGUACGGUCGCAAGGCUAAAACUCAAAGGAAUUGACGGGGGCUCGCACAAGCGGUGGAGCAUGUGGUUUAAUUCGACGCAACGCGAAGAACCUUACCAGGGCUUGACAUGCAGGUAGUAAAGAGAUGAAAGUUGAAUGAACCGUAAAGUCGGUUGCUUGCACAGGUGCUGCAUGGCUGUCGUCAGCUCGUGUCGUGAGAUGUUAGGUUAAGUCCUUUAACGGGCGAAACCCUUGUCCU